rnacentral:rRNA from 1 species
UACGUAGGUGGCAAGCGUUGUCCGGAUUUAUUGGGUUUAAAGGGUGCGUAGGCGGCUUAUUAAGUCAGUGGUGAAAUACUCUAGCUCAACUAGAGGGGUGCCAUUGAUACUGAUGAGCUUGAGUACAGAUGAGGUAGGCGGAAUUGACGGUGUAGCGGUGAAAUGCGCAGAUAUCAGGAAGAACACCGAUGGCGAAGGCAGUUCUCUGGGCCGUAACUGACGCUGAGGAGCGAAAGCGUGGGGAGCGAACAGG